UAUGAAGGAUUGGAUGAAAUAUAAACUGUCUCUUAAUUAUAUUUAGAAUUUAAUUUUUUAGUUAAAAAGUUAAAAUAAAUUAGAAAGACGAGAAGACCCUAUAGAGUUUUAUAGAUAAAAUUAAUUGAGAUUAUUUGUAAAGGUUAAAAUUAAAAUUAAUUUAUUUAUUUUGUUGGGGUGACAGAAAAAUAUGAAAAACUUUUUAUAUGUUUAAAACAUUAAUAAGUGGUUAAAUGAUCCAGUAUUAUUGAUUAUAAGAAAAAAUUACCUUAGGGAUAACAGCGUAAUUUUUUUUUUUAGUUCACAUAAAAAAAAAA
rnacentral:rRNA from 1 species